GACGAACGCUGGCGGCGUGCUUAACACAUGCAAGUCGAACGAAGUGGCGAACGGGUGAGUAACGCGUAAUCAACCUGCCCUUCAGAGGGGGACAACAGUUGGAAACGACUGCUAAUACCGCAUACCUCAGGCGGGGAGUGCGUCUGAUUAGCUAGUGGGAGGGGUAACGGCCCACCAAGGCGAUGAUCAGUAGGCGGGAUGAGAGAAUGAACGGCCCCAUUGGGACGGAGACACGGCCCAGACACCUACGGGAGGCAGCAGUGGGGAAUAUUCCGCAAUGGAAGAAAGUCGAACGGAGCAACGCCGCGUGAGUGAUGACGGCCUUCGGGUUGUAAAGCUCUGUUAAUCGGGACGCGGUACCGGAAUAGAAAGCCACGGCUAACUGCGUGCGAGCAGCCGCGGUAAUAC
rnacentral:rRNA from 1 species